rnacentral:lncRNA from 1 species
AGACCACCAAAUGAUAUAUUCAAAUUCGAAAGAACUAAGACAAGCAGAUAUGGAAGAUGUAAGACAGUGGAUAUUGACACUACUCAACCCAGAAAAACAAUCUACCGCACGAGCAAUAAAAAAGGGAUUUAUUUCAGACGGACUACUAACGAGAUACUGUAAGAUAAUUGGACAUAAAUAUCCAGACCACCAAUGUUCGAGGUGCAAUGGAGAAGAUAAUAUUAUUCCAGAGGUACAUCUAGAAUAAAGAAGAUAAAAUGCCAGCUGGAAGGAUAAGAUAAAGAGCAAUAAUGGAGCAGAUAAAGAGCAAUAAUGGAGCAGAUAAAGAGCAAUAAUGGAGCAGAUAAAGAGCAAUAAUGGAGCAGAUAAAGAGCAAUAAUGGAGCAGAUAAAGAGCAAUAAUGGAGCAGAUAAAGAGCAAUAAUGGAGCAGAUACAGAGCAAUAAUGGAGCAGAUACAGAGCAAUAAUGGAGCAGAUACAGAGCAAUAAUGGAGCAGAUACGACAAAAUCAACGGAGACAAGAUACUGUACAUUAAUUAAUUUGUUAGACUUUUUACGUAGAAAAAAUGUAUAUGUAAGCCACUAUUGUUGACUAUUUUUUUUCUUUAGUUUUAGAAAUUGUAAGUUAGAUACCUUUUUGACUUCUUAGGCUUAGUUUUAAUUGAGAAACUUUACGUAACUUAGAAUUUUAGGAAAAGUUAGAUGGGGAUAGGCCCCACUUCUUUAAUUUUCAUUACUUCUUAGACACAGCAGAUAUGUAAAUUCAUUCUAUAAAUACAAAGGUCGAGGGUAUUGCGGAAAGCAAGCCUUCUUUUGAAGCAAACCUUUCUCUCUCCAUUCCACAAAAAUUACUCAGUUAAUUAGAUAAAUAUACUCCAAUGGAAAAAGCUAUGGAACAACAAAACUCAGAAACAUCAAAGCUACCGGAACAGGUAUAUCUAUUUAUAAUUAUGAAUAGCUAAUUUCAUAAUUCCCAACAAUCAUGAUAUGAUAAAAUAAUUCAUAUUAGUUACUUUAUAGUAGAAUUAUUCGAAGAAUAAUAUGUUAAGAAGUUUAUUAACAAAGAGGAAACGGAGAAAUAUCCCUAAGGACUAUG